CUCAAUUAUGGUGAUGAUGUUCCACCAAGCACGUUGUGCUAAACCGCUUUAAAGCUGAUGACGUCUGUAUAUAU
rnacentral:ncRNA from 2 species